rnacentral:rRNA from 1 species
UACGUAGGGGGCAAGCGUUGUCCGGAAUUAUUGGGCGUAAAGAGCGCGCAGGCGGUCGUUCAAGUCGCGUGUGAAAGCCCCCGGCUCAACUGGGGAGGGUCACGCGAUACUGAUCGACUCGAAGGCAGGAGAGGGAAGUGGAAUUCCCGGUGUAGUGGUGAAAUGCGUAGAUAUCGGGAGGAACACCAGUGGCGAAGGCGACUUCCUGGCCUGUUCUUGACGCUGAGGCGCGAAAGCUAGGGGAGCAAACGGG